rnacentral:rRNA from 1 species
GAUGAACGCUGGCGGCGUGCUUAACACGUGCAAGUCGAACGGAAAGGCUCCUGCUUGCAGGGGUACUCGAGUGGCGAACGGGUGAGUAACACGUGGGUGAUCUGCCCUGCACUUCGGGAUAAGCCUGGGAAACUGGGUCUAAUACCGGAUAGGACGAUGGUUUGGAUGCCAUUGUGGAAAGUUUUUUCGGUGUGGGAUGAGCUCGCGGCCUAUCAGCUUGUUGGUGGGGUAAUGGCCUACCAAGGCGUCGACGGGUAGCCGGCCUGAGAGGGUGUACGGCCACAUUGGGACUGAGAUACGGCCCAGACUCCUACGGGAGGCAGCAGUGGGGAAUAUUGCACAAUGGGCGCAAGCCUGAUGCAGCGACGCCGCGUGGGGGAUGACGGCCUUCGGGUUGUAAACUCCUUUCGCUAGGGACGAAGCGCAAGUGACGGUACCUGGAGAAGAAGCACCGGCCAACUACGUG